rnacentral:lncRNA from 1 species
UGACACAAUUUUAUGGUGGUGAUAAUAACUAAGGUGUAACAAUAAAAAAUUGAUUUUUUUAAUACACAUAAAUAUUUAAUUUUAAAUAUUUAUAUUCAAAUUAUAAAUUACAAAAGUUAUUUUGUAGAGUUGUUACAUUGUUUUUUUUUCUUUUAUGUUUCUAUUCAAAUUUAAAAAAAAAAAAAUUGCAUCUGCAUUUCACUUUUCUAUUCAAAAUUUGUAAUAUUUUCUUUUUUUAUUCGGUUUCUCUCUUUAUCAUUUUCAAUGAUAAUCUUUUUAUCAUUUUUUAUAUAUGCUAAUAUUUUUU